rnacentral:tRNA from 1 species
GGAGAGGUGCCAGAGAGGCCGAUUGGGGCUGCCUGCUAAGCAGUUUAGGGGGCUAAAACCUCCUACGAGGGUUCGAAUCCCUCCCUCUCCGCCA